CGCACUAUGGCCUGGCUGAAACACCCAGGCUUCAUUCACUUCCAGCCCUGAAUAGCAAACAGUCCCUGGGGUCACUGCACCCAGUCCAGGGCUAGCAGAACAGUGCCAGUUUGACACCUGCCUUUUCCGUGCCACCAUCCCAGCAGACACCUUGAUGCAAGCAGCCAUGUGUACAGCAGGCAUUCUCACCCACUUGGAGAUUACAUCUUCCAGUCUUCUUGUGGCUCUGUUUCAUCAAGAGGUGCUCUUCAACCUCCACAGACUGGGAAGAAAAGAUUGUGGGUCAUCACUGAUCUUCUAUUAAAAUAAUAAAA